rnacentral:rRNA from 1 species
AGCAGCAGCCGCGGGAAUACAGAGGGUGCGAGCGUUAAUCGGAUUUACUGGGCGUAAAGCGUGCGUAGGCGGCUAAUUGAGUCGGAUGUGAAAUCCCCGAGCUUAACUUAGGAAUUGCAUUCGAUACUGGGAAGCUAGAGUAUGGGAGAGGAUGGUAGAAUUCCAGGUGUAGCGGUGAAAUGCGUAGAGAUCUGGAGGAAUACCGAUGGCGAAGGCAGCCAUCUGGCCUAAUACUGACGCUGAGGUACGAAAGCAUGGGGAGCAAACAGGAUUAGAUACCCCAGUAGUCCCUGUCUCUUAUAC